GGCAGUCUCAGUUCGGAUUGUAGGCUGCAACUCGCCUACAUGAAGUCGGAAUCGCUAGUAAUCGCGGAUCAGCACGCCGCGGUGAAUACGUUCCCGGGCCUUGUACACACCGCCCGUCACACCACGAGAGUUUGUAACACCCGAAGUCGGUGAGGUAACCGUAAGGAGCCAGCCGCCUAAGGUGGGAUAGAUGAUUGGGGUGAAGUCGUAACAAGGUAGCCGUAUCGGAAGGUGCGGCUGGAUCACCUCCUUUCUAAGGA
rnacentral:rRNA from 1 species